GAUGAACGCUGGCGGCGUGCCUAAUACAUGCAAGUCGAGCGAACAGACGAGGAGCUUGCUCCUCUGACGUUAGCGGCGGACGGGUGAGUAACACGUGGAUAACCUCCCUAUAAGACUGGGAUAACUUCGGGAAACCGGAGCUAAUACCGGAUAAUAUAUUGAACCGCAUGGUUCAAUAGUGAAAGACGGUUUUGCUGUCACUUAUAGAUGGAUCCGCGCCGCAUUAGCUAGUUGGUAAGGUAACGGCUUACCAAGGCAACGAUGCGUAGCCGACCUGAGAGGGUGAUCGGCCACACUGGAACUGAGACACGGUCCAGGCUCCUACGGGAGGCAGCAGUAGGGAAUCUUCCGCAAUGGGCGAAAGCUUGACGGAGCAACGCCGCGUGAGUGAUGAAGGUCUUCGGAUCGUAAAACUCUGUUAUUAGGGAAGAACAAAUGUGUAAGUAACUAUGCACGUCUUGACGGUACCUAAUCAGAAAGCCACGGCUAACUACGUG
rnacentral:rRNA from 1 species